rnacentral:rRNA from 1 species
UACGUAGGGUGCAAGCGUUAAUCGGAAUUACUGGGCGUAAAGCGUGCGCAGGCGAUUUUGUAAGUCUGUCGUGAAAGCCCCGGGCUCAACCUGGGAAUUGCGAUGGAGACUGCAAGGCUUGAAUCUGGCAGAGGGGGGUAGAAUUCCACGUGUAGCAGUGAAAUGCGUAGAGAUGUGGAGGAACACCGAUGGCGAAGGCAGCCCCCUGGGUCAAGAUUGACGCUCAUGCACGAAAGCGUGGGGAGCAAACAGG